UGAAAUCUCGAAGCUCAACUUCGAAACUGCGUCUGAAACUACUAGUCUAGAGUGUCGAAAAAAAAAAGGGAAUUUCACGUGUAGGGGUAAAAUCCGUAGAAAUGUAAAAAAACACCAAAAGCGAAGGCGCCUUCCUGGACGACUACUGACGCUGAGGCGCGAAAGCGUGGGGAGCAAACAGGAUUAGAUACCCUGGUAGUCCACGCCGUAAACGAUGAACACUAGUUAUUGGGGGUAUUGACUCCCUCAGUGACGCAGCUAACGCAUUAAG
rnacentral:rRNA from 1 species